CUGUGAGCUGGGAACAUUGCAGCAUAUGCCAGCUUAGCAGAAAGAUGCCACAAGUUACUGAGUUUGACCCAGGAAUUCCUGGUCGAAAGAUUAUGGCCUGCGCUCUGUGGGAAGCCAGACAACUUCCAGGUUUUGGAUCAGCAAAGUUCCUGAGCACUGCGUUGUAGUUUUCAAUGACAUUUGUUUAAUGGCUACGUGAUGAUUUUCUUCAUCCUGGCUCCAACGUCCCAAGAACCGGGAUGAAUGAAUGGAGUGAAACUCAUGGACUAUUGGCAUUUUCCAUCCUUUAAAGAGAUUAUCUCAGCAUCCCGGCAAUAUGCCUACAACAUACAGAGGCUGUUUGCAGAGAGUGGAGGAAAAAAGUGAGGCAGCCUGGGAAAUUUCUGUCUUAGUCUCUUCCACAUUGAAACAACAGUGCUGCUUCAGAGAAGAUCCAGAGCCAGCACGCACCGGCACUGCAGGGCAAACACUGUGACUUGGAGGAUGACCUGUGCCACUGUGGAUUUUCACAGUAUUUUUAUUGUGAAACACAUAAAAGAAGAUCUCAGAAGUGCUGCGUGCUGUACAGCCUGCGUGACUGCCGUCAGUGCUGUGUUCCCAGUACCUGAUGCGGGAAAGGGAAAUGCAAAUGAAACAUUUGUCUCUUCAGAAAAGGUUCCGAACUGCUUGAAUCGGAGGGAUGGGCUGAGGCUGCUCUGCAGAUCAGAGCUCUCCUCUACCCAUGCAGUGGAGAGCUGAAUCUGCCUUUGCACUUCUUGCCUGUUGGUACAAAUUUGUGGUGCCUGCUUGCCAGCUGGUGACAUGAGGUGGUGGCUCCUGCCCCUGCCCAGGGGGGAGACCCUGCAUAAUAUUAAUCGUUGGCUGCAAACUUGGCACCUUUCAGCAGAGAAGCUAAAAAGGCACUGGCUCCGAGUCCAACUCCCCCCGCCGCCCCUCCCCGCUGCGGUCCCUUUGCAUCGGGCUGGCGCAGGGAGGGGGGACGCACAGCACUGCCCGCUGUGCUGCAGCUGCUCCGAGCUGCGGCACCGAGCUGCUUCGGGGUUGUCAGUCCAGCAGCUGUCACGGUCCCUGCGUGGAUGCAGACUUUUUUAAAAGGGGUUGCAAAAUGUCAGGGAUUUUAUCUGUGUGACCUGCCCCUGCUGUGCAGACCAGAGUUGAUGCGCAGCACAGAAAUGCAGGUAAGAUGAUGCAAAUAAGCACACAGAAGCACACACACAAAAGAACUUUUGCUGG